CAACAUCUCGAAAAUACUGAAGAAUCAUCGAUUAAGCUACAAAUGUAUGCAGAUAGAACCAUAUGAGAACUCAGGUUAAAAAUGUAAGAAUGACAACCUUCAAAUUUGAACUGCAAAUCCUAGACUAUGUAUACUUCCUCAUUGAACUGCUUCUUCCAAGAAUAAGAAAGAUAAAACAACGAUAUACCUGCACAAAACCUUAGUCGAAAAUCCUCUCCCCUGUUGAUAGUACUAGAAAUACAAAAGAACUGAAAAUACAGAGCAGCCCCGGAAUGAAGAAUACUGAUGUCCAGCUUUCUGGACUGGUAAGAUCCAACUGAGCCUCUUUAGCAGCUUCAAG
rnacentral:misc_RNA from 1 species